AAAUUGAAGAGUUUGAUCAUGGCUCAGAUUGAACGCUGGCGGCAGGCCUAACACAUGCAAGUCGAACGGUAACAGGAAGCAGCUUGCUGCUUCGCUGACGAGUGGCGGACGGGUGAGUAAUGUCUGGGAAACUGCCUGAUGGAGGGGGAUAACUACUGGAAACGGUGGCUAAUACCGCAUAACGUCGCAAGACCAAAGAGGGGGACCUUCGGGCCUCUUGCCAUCAGAUGUGCCCAGAUGGGAUUAGCUUGUUGGUGAGGUAACGGCUCACCAAGGCGACGAUCCCUAGCUGGUCUGAGAGGAUGACCAGCCACACUGGAACUGAGA
rnacentral:rRNA from 1 species